rnacentral:rRNA from 1 species
GGAUAGCCACUGGAAAUGGUGGGUAAUACCGUAUAAUCCCCGCGGGGGAAAGAUUUAUCGCUAUUAGAUGAGCCUAUGUCGGAUUAGCUAGUUGGUGGGGUAAUGGCCUACCAAGGCAGUGAUCUGUAGCUGGUCUGAGAGGAUGGUCAGCCACACUGGAACUGAGACACGGUCCAGACUCCUACGGGAGGCAGCAGUGGGGAAUAUUGGACAAUGGGCGCAAGCCUGAUCCAGCUAUGCCGCGUGAGUGAGGAAGGCCUUAGGGUUGUAAAACUCUUUCAGUAGGGAAGAUAAUG